rnacentral:lncRNA from 1 species
UAAUGUGCUCUGACGAUGAACUGGGCUUUGCCUUUUGACUUGCGUUGGCCAAUGGGACACAGGCAAAUGUCAUGCAAAUACAGAUUCAAAAAGUAUUUGCCUAAUGGUGCUUGUCUUCUUGGACACAGUCAAAUUGUGAAGAAUCUUGGGGCUACCUGCUGGAAACACAGUGCCUAACAGAGAGCCAGCACAAAUCACAAGACAUGUGAGUAAAGCCAUCUUAAGCCAACCAGCCUCAGUCAAGGCACCAGGUGACUCAACUGUCACUCGUGAUCCAAGCAACACUAACAUAGAAUAUGAACUGCCCAGAUGAACCCACCACAAAAUACAGAUCCAUAGAAGCUUGAACAAAGAAAAUGGUGGUGGUUUUUUAAGCCACUAAGGUCUGAUUACUUUCUUAUAAAGCAAAUGCUAACUGAUACAUCUAAGCCGCCAGAACUUGAUAUAUAUCUAAGAAAAUUAUGUGGGGAAGAAAGUUUUAAUGUGUAUGUCAAAUACAAUCAACACCACUUUGGAAGCACACAAAGAAAUUUUGAAAAUCACAAUGAAUAUCAAAUGGAUGGAAUUCAGUGAGGUAGGUGGCUGGUGCUAAUAGAGACCGUGUGAAUCAUACAAAGCAACUGUUUGCACAUCAGAAAGCCGUCUAUGUUUUAAAGUUUUUACAUCAUAAAAAAGUUUGUUUACUUUAAAAAACACAAAACAUAAAAAGAGUCUGUUACAAGGGAGCAUUGUACUUCAUUUUAUUAAAUUUUAAGAAAUAGGUUUGGAGAAGCAGUAUGACAGUCUAAUUUUCCCAUAUUAAUGUCAAAUAAUCUCCCAUUAUUUUCAUGCAGAAUUUAUGAUUUUUAAGAACAUAUUACUGACAUUAAGUGGGAAACACUUGUGUUUCCUCAAAUGAAACUCUUUGAAGUCACAUAAUCCAUAGAAAGUGUUGGGGAUAAAAAAGGAUAGGGAUGUUUAAGGCAAAAUAUUUUAAAGCAAUGUUUGUUCUAUGCUGUCAGUGUUGCAAAAAUAAUCUCAAAAGUAAACAAACACGGCCGGGUGCAGUGGCUCACGCCUGUAAUCCCAGCACUAUGGGAGGCCGAAGUGGGCGGAUCACAAGGUCCGAAGAUCGAGACCAUCCUGGCUAAUACGGUGAAACCUCAUCUCUACUAAAAAUACAGAAAAUUAGCCAGGCAUGGUGGCGAGCGCCUGUAGUCCCAGAUAGGAGGCUGAGGCAGGAGAAUGCCAUGAACCCGGGAGGCAGAACUUGCAGUGAGCCGAGAUCUCACCACUGCACUCCAGCCUGGGUGACAGAGCGAGACUCCGUCUCAAAAAAAAAAAAAAAGUAAACAAACACUUGUUUUGACUUGUGGCAAAAUGAGUAACACCAGCCAAAAGGUCGGGAUGCCUAACAUCUACAGAUCAAGUGAUCUUGGGCAAGUAAAUAACUUCUCAAAUCCAAUUGCUCCAUCUAACGUAGAAAUACCUCGGCAAACUUCCUGAACUACCAGGAAGAACUAUUAGGACAGAGGGAGCAUCAACAUAUCUGUAGAUACCAAAUUUCGUGCUAGACUAUGUUUAAGACAGCUCAGACACGGGACAAUUAGGGGAGAUUGAAGGAAUGGGACGACUGUUUAGGGAGCACUGUCUACGGUAGGACAGGUCAUUCCUACACCCCAGAUGACACCUUCAAGCUCCCUCCUAUAAGCAACAUUUCCUAGGCCCCUGCCUAGUCUUCUCAAACUCACCUCUCCUUUCUGAAAGUUGGCCUAAACCUUCCAAAAGCACCAGUUGUUAAUAGCUAUUGAAUGAGCUAUUAUCAAUCAAAUACCGUGCAUUCUAGGGAGUAGGAUCAAUAACUGCUUGGGUCAUGCAAAACUAGGAUCUAUGCCUUUCUGUGAUUCUGCUCUGAAGCUCCAGUGAGAAGGUUCAGGCCAGAAGGGUGCUCUUUCAGAGGGGAGUCCUAUUUUCUGCUUCCAAGUGUGGAACGCCUAAUUUAUUGCAAAGACAACUGGGCCAUCACCCAGCACCCCAUCUUCCUCGUGGAACUCGUCCCUGGAAAACAGGCCGGGGUUGCCCUCUAUGCUGCCUAGAGGGCCUGCCUGCCGGGGCUGCCCGCUGUACGUCCUUCAGGCCUGGCUGGGAGGCUCAGCUGGCCCCGGGGCCCGCAUGCCGGGCCUGUCCACUGUCCUGCCUUCAGGGCUCGCCAGCCUGGGCUGCCCGCGGUCCUGUCUGCAGGGGCCGCCUGCCGGGAUUGCCCGCUCUCCUGCCUGCAGGCGCUGCUGGGAGGCUCAGCUGGCCCCGGGGCCUGCCUGCUGUCCUGCCUGCAUGGACCACCAGGCUGAGCUGCCCGCUGUCCUGCCUGCAGGGCCCGCCUGCCGGGGCUGCCCGCUGUGCAGCCUGCAAGGCCCACCUUCCGGGGUUGCCCUCUAAGCUGCCUACAGUGCCCGCCUGCCGGGGCUGCCUUCCGGGAUUGCCCGCUCUCCUGCCUGCAGGCCCUGCUGGGAGGCUCAGCUGGCUCAGCCUGCAGGGCCGGCCUGCCGGGGCUGCCCGCUAUAUUCCAGCGACAUAUUCUUUCAGUUUUGUUAAUCUGGGUCAACAAGAGGAGCUUAGUACUCCACACAAUGACUUAGGAACCUGUGCUGGUGGUGGCACUGGCAUCUUACAGCUGCUCCAUCUGGAGAAGGUUCCAGGUGAUUCCAGCUCUUCAUAUAGCUGCUGCCUCACAGAAUUAGGAUGAGUAGUGGGAAGAACUGAGUGUGGGAAUGAAGCAGAUGGGACAGAGUCCAAGAACCCAAAAGCAAGGAGGAAGAGACAGUACCGGGGCAUGAAUAGCCUUGGAGGGUUCCUGACGCCAGCCUGCAGUUCCUGGAGCUCCAGCACCUCAUCCACAACAUUUGCGAAUGGACAAGGCAGGAGUGAGGAAGAAAGGUUUCAUCUUCAGAGAAGAGGUAUCAGUAGUGUAGGGGUGAAGGUGAUGGAAGAAACGGUUGUGGAACAAAAGGAAUAGAAAGCUCCCGGCAAGGAUGGAGGCAGCACUGUUUGUUGGACAACUGAAUUGGCCCAGGUGGCCCCUGCACUCUCAGGUACCUGAGACUCCACCCGCCUUGCCUUACUGUCCACAUUUACUCAUGGUGACAACCCCCGCCCCCAAAUUUCAUUUGAAUGACAUGCGCAGGUGCAUUUGCACUGAGAUCUUUAUUCUAGGCCUGGGGCCUUGGAGCAGUGGGCAAUUGCAACACAGGACAGAGAAGAGAGUAUUGUUUGUGUCCCUGUGAUCAGACACAUGCACACACUACACACACACACACACACACACACACACACACACACACAAGGACACGGGCACAGACAUGGGUAGUAAUGAGACCUAUUAAGUAUUUUCCCCUCCAGUAGGCAGAUGUGCAUGAUACAUAAAUUACAAAUAAGAGGAACCUUGUGAACACAUUUCAAAGGCAAGAUGAGUGAAUAUCGGUGACUUGUGGUUUUCAUGUAUUUUAUAAUUCAGUUCUUGGUAUAAAAUAUAUUUUAUAUUCCAACCUCGUAUACACCUAUACACUCUUGAAAAAUCGAAAGAAGAGUUUCACUGAAGAAAACUUAAUUUCACAAGGUGUGAUACUCUCUGAUGUUUUAUUUUACAUCAUAUACUAGUUCAAUUAAAAAAUAAAUUCAUUAAGCUCAUCAGAAUUGACUGUGCCUGCAAUUUCAAAAAUG